CGCACACCUGCCCAGCUUGACUGGACCUACACGGCAAAGGGGCCUAUGCACGCAGUCACUGUGGCCAGUGUCCCCAGGAUGUAAAGCAGGGCCCAGAAGAGACCCGACUCGGCUUCCUGUCCCCCUCCAGUAAGCUGUGGAGCUCUCUGUGAUACGAAGUGCUGGUAGUAACGAAACGGAAUCUACAUCCGACAUCUGGCUGCCUAAAAGUUAUGCCUUUCAGGUUCUGCAAGACAGAGCUCACAGAAGGAUUUUAUUCCCAUAUAUUCACAUGCAAAAACCUGGCGUGCAGCUAAAAAAGAAAAUAUUACCACCAUGCACCAGAAUGUUCUGAAAGUUAUCUCAGAAGUGUGGUUUGAACUCCGAUCUGGCCUCUGCCGCAUCUCUCUUCAUGUGAGGCUACUUUCUCCAGCUGUCACUGCAAGCCAGCCCUGGUCUGUCCAUGUCUAAACACCCAACACUCUUCCCGCCUCACACGCUUCCCUUAGUCUUGGACAUUCCCUGGCGUCUCUGGAGAGCUGAUACUUUGGUGCUCAGCAUAAACGGGAGGCUUUGUCUAGCCGUGGUAUUGAACCAGGGAGGAGGAACACAAGAAGUGUUGCCUGCCUUUAUCCUCACAAGAAAACCAGUCAGGAGACAGGCCUUGCUCCCGUGA
rnacentral:lncRNA from 1 species